AUGUUGGUGAAGCUGAAGGCGGUUUACACUUUGGUGGAACAGCUCUACACAGGCACUCAGCAAACCAUAGCGGCCAUCUCACACAGUAAACAACCACCUUCACUCAUCAGGGAGGUACUGGACAAACUAUCUGCCAUGCUCCAGAGAAUCGAAGAGAUUAAGCGAUCAUCAGCCCGAGCUGGUGCCAUCACUGCUUUGAGCCGGGCCAAAGCAUGGCAAGCAGAGUUAGACCCAGAGGAGAUGGCCACUGGUUGUCCAAGUCUCAAAGAAGACGGGUCUCCCUUCGAUGCAAGCAACUUUACCAAAUGUGUAAAGGAGAUGCACCCUCUGGCAAGCAAAUUGGCUAAAGAGACGGAUUUGUCCAAGUAUCAGGCGGCUUACACGAUGGAGAACUCCAAAGUGAAAGCACCGGCUUAUGAGAUUGUGGAUCUUAUUCCUCCAAUACGUAAGCGUACUUUUGCUCUUAACAUUGAUCCGUCCACACUUAUAGAUGAUGAAGCUAUGUUCAAAGCCUUAACUGGCAUCGACUGGACAUCACCUGACUUCCAGACGAUGGACGACGAAGAAGAAACAAUGCAGGAUAACCCAAAGGCUUCAACUCGCCAGGACCAAAAGAACUGA
rnacentral:rRNA from 1 species